UUGGAGGGCAAGUCUGGUGCCAGCAGCCGCGGUAAUUCCAGCUCCAAUAGCGUAUAUUAAAGUUGUUGCAGUUAAAAAGCUCGUAGCUGAAUUUCGGGAUCAAUAUUUCGGUCAUGCCGUUGGUAUGCACUGUUAUCAUUGAUUUCUCACCUUCUAAAGAACCGUAAUGCCAUUAAUUUGGUGUUACGGGGAAUUAGGACUGUUACCUUGAAAAAAUUAGAGUGUUUAAAGCAGGCUCACGCUUGAAUACAUUAGCAUGGAAUAAUGAAAUAGGACAUCCGAUUCUAUUUUGUUGGUUUCUAGGAUCGAUGUAAUGAUUAAUAGGGAUAGUUGGGGGCAUUAGUAUUCAAUUGUCAGAGGUGAAAUUCUUGGAUUUAUUGAAGACUAACUACUGCGAAAGCAUUUGCCAAGGAUGUUUUCAUUAAUCAAGAACGAAAGUUAGGGGAUCGAAGACGAUCAGAUACCGUCGUAGUCUUAACCAUAAACUAUGCCGACUAGGGAUCGGAUGAUGUUAAUUUUUUAAUGACUCAUUCGGCGCCUUACGGGAAACCAAAGUGUUUGGGUUC
rnacentral:rRNA from 1 species